UUUGACGGGUAGCCGGCCUGAGAGGGCGACCGGCCACACUGGGACUGAGACACGGCCCAGACUCCUACGGGAGGCAGCAGUGGGGAAUAUUGCACAAUGGGCGGAAGCCUGAUGCAGCGACGCCGCGUGAGGGAUGACGGCCUUCGGGUUGUAAACCUCUUUCAGCAGGGACGAAGCGAAAGUGACGGUACCUGCAGAAGAAGCGCCGGCCAACUACGUGCCAGCAGCCGCGGUAAGACGUAGGGCGCGAGCGUUGUCCGGAUUUAUUGGGCGUAAAGAGCUCGUAGGCGGCUUGUUGCGUCGUCCGUGAAAACCUGGGGCUCAACUCCAGGCUUGCGGUCGAUACGGGCAGGCUAGAGUUCGGUAGGGGAGACUGGAAUUCCUGGUGUAGCGGUGAAAUGCGCAGAUAUCAGGAGGAACACCGGUGGCGAAGGCGGGUCUCUGGGCCGAUACUGACGCUGAGGAGCGAAAGCGUGGGGAGCGAACAGGAUUAGAUACCCUGGUAGUCCACGCUGUAAACGUUGGGCGCUAGGUGUGGGGGGCCUCUCCGGUUUCCUGCGCCGUAGCUAACGCAUUAAGCGCCCCGCCUGGGGGAGUACG
rnacentral:rRNA from 1 species